UAGCUUUGGUUUUAACUAUAA
rnacentral:piRNA from 1 species